UUUUGAGAUUAUUAAUUAAUAUAAUUGAGCUUAAAUUUAAAAAACUUACAAAUUUGACUCGAAAGAUCUGGAGUAAAUUAUUUGAUGCCAAGUUGAAUACAUAACAAGGAUCUCUGUUGACUAAAUAAUCAUAAAAGCUCUUUGGCCAGCCUCCAAUCACUAAGAAUUCCAAUAUUAGGACAUUACAAAGGAACAAAACCUUCAGACUAGGCAAAACUCAAUAGUUAGCCACUAUCUUAUCAGGGUAAUCAUCAGAGCUUGCUAAGACGAAACUAAUAUAGCUUCUUCCUUCCUCAGCUUUCUUCUGUUCAGCCAGCCCAGCGUACAUCUGUUGUCUGAAUUGCUUACGAGCCUCUCGUUCUGAUAGUUUUAAAUCUUUGAAACCCUGCUCAAACUUGGCUUCAUCUUCAGGUGAAAAGAAGGCAACCUCCAUCUUCCCAAGCUCUUCAUACAUUUUUUCAAUCUUGGCUUUCCAGAAGAGGCCCAUUUCUGUGUCCAUUUUCUGGUAAGGAGUUCUCAGUAGGUACUCGUCGAUCCCUCCUGCCUUGUCUAUGCAACGAAGGGCAUGAGUGGUGACUUUGACUCUAACGUGUCGGUCUAAGAUAUAACUAAAGAGUCUCUUCUCUUGGACAUUUGGUUUCCAAGUCCUCCUACUCUUGUUACCACCAUCUUCACUGAUGCGAUUGCCGAACUGGAUGUGGCGACCGGCGAAAAGGCCACGCUUCGCUCGGCCCAUAACGACCUUGCUAUCAGGUAUGGAUUUCUUGAGAGAUUCCUCGACUCCAGGUGUCAAAGUUUUUUCUCCUACCUUUUUCAUUACUUUCUUCAUCAUCUCCUUCCCUCUAAAUGCCAUUUUCAAUAUUUUCUUUGUUGCACUAGAUUCUGGACGACGGUUAGCAACUGCUUUUCCUCUUUCUUUUUGGAUCUGCCUGGUACGAUUUCUUUAGUUCUCAUUAAUUUUCUUGGCAACCAAACGGAAAUGCUCG
rnacentral:misc_RNA from 1 species